AUUUGUAACUUGAGAAACCAUCCCAACAGAGUUCACCUCCAGCCACCCUCUGGCAGUGUUCAGCCACCAGGGACUGGUUGCAUAUUGACAAAGACCUUGCUAUGCGGCUACACUGUGGUCCUCAGAAGGGCAACAUCAUCACCUGGAAGCAGAUGGAAAUACAGUCUUGGGCCCCACCCUCAACCUGCUGCAUCAGAGCCUCAGCUUACCCAACCACCAGGUGGUUUUUAUCCACACUUAGGUCCAAAAAGCAGUGGUCUAAGGGAUCUGCCUGAGGUUGCUUUUGUCAGUGACACAAAGUGCCAUGUCCUGUUCCUAAGUUGUAUCUGCGCAUUUUCCACUUUGAGGCUUUACACAGACUUUUCUGCUGCGCUCCUGGGCAAGCUAUCGCCAUUUUAGAUGAGUCCCCACCCAGUGGGCCUUACAACCAUCUGUGCUUCUGGUGGGCAUGCAAUUAUAUAGUACAGCCUCCUACUAAACAAGCCAUGCCCACCCCUCUAGGUCAUCCUGCCCUCCUGAUUCCCACAGCUCUAGUGUUACCAUGUUCAUAAACUGUUGUUAAAGGAGGAAAUUACCAAAAGGAAAAAAAGCAGUGUCUAUAAACCUGCAUAGUUUAGAGCUAAAGAAUAUGUUAAAAUUUUCCAUCGUGGAAAUUUCCCAGCUACUGGGCUCUUUAGAUUUUUUUUUUUUUUUUUUUUCUGAGCUGCAAGCAAAGAAUGGAAAUUUCCAAACGCAGCAUCAAGAGCUGCUGUUCUGCUGACUGUCUCGCUCAGCUGGGGUCAUCUGCUUUUCUAAGACAUCAAGGAAUACCAAGCUUUUCUACUUCUCCCGAGGCUGAAAGGAGGCCAAGAUCUUUUCAUAAUCAAACCAGAAGGAAAAAUACCAAAAAGGAGGAGAAACAGUGGCUCUAAAUUUUACUGAUUUAUUAAUCAUUCUCUCAUGACACCAUGACCUCUCUACCCGAAGAGUUGAAGAAGACAGUGGUGAUAGGAAGGCAGCCAUUUCCAAUGGCUGAACUGGUUCUUUAUUCCUAUGCCCAACAACAGAUGGAUCCUUGAUUGCUCUCGGGAACAAGCGCACUGCUGUGGCAUGAAGUGGAAGGUGUAAUUUGGAACCAGACAAGAGACAAAAGACUUCUUUCACAAGUAAUGCAUUCACAGAAAUGUAGUGGGAAAAAGAUAAUUUCACCAAGUAAUCUAAAGCUACACUUCAUAUGCAAGUUCCUGAACCAUAACCAAGUGUAUACAACUUAAGCCUUUCAUGGAAGAAAGUUUCAAUCUCUUUAAGAACAAAGGCAGGGCCGGCAAGAUGGCUCAGUGAGUUAAGAUGUUUGCCAUCAAGUCCGAUGACCUGACUUUGAUC